rnacentral:rRNA from 1 species
UGGGGAAUUUUGGACAAUGGGGGAAACCCUGAUCCAGCCAUCCCGCGUGUGCGAUGAAGGCCUUCGGGUUGUAAAGCACUUUUGGCAGGAAAGAAACGUCAUGGGUUAAUACCCCGUGAAACUGACGGUACCUGCAGAAUAAGCACCGGCUAACUACGUGCCAGCAGCCGCGGUAAUGCGUAGGGUGCAAGCGUUAAUCGGAAUUACUGGGCGUAAAGCGUGCGCAGGCGGUUCGGAAAGAAAGAUGUGAAAUCCCAGAGCUCAACUUUGGAACUGCAUUUUUAACUACCGGGCUAGAGUGUGUCAGAGGGAGGUGGAAUUCCGAGUGUAGCAGUGAAAUGCGUAGAUAUGCGGAGGAACACCGAUGGCGAAGGCAGCCUCCUGGGAUAACACUGACGCUCAUGCACGAAAGCGUGGGGAGCAAACAGG